CAUAUUCUAGUGGUCGUAUUUACACGUUGUCAUCCCAGAGAUCACAAAGAGACCUAUUUCUGAAAAAUAUUGUUUGCAUUUUUUUUUCUGUUACCUAAACAGGGAAAUAAUGAAUGCAUUUUGGAUGCACCUAGAUAUCUACAUGGAACAUUAGGAUGGUUAUUUUUUUUAUUUUCCAAGCAGUUUUUAUAAAAAUUGGAUAAAAUGUCAGAAAAACGAGACAAUUUACUAUGUGUAAUUAGUUAAAAAUAUUACAGCAUUUUUAUUCCUGUGAACCACUUUUCUACCAGUAAUUUUGCACUGAUUUAUAAUGGUAGUAUUUUUUCUGAAAGGAAAUCUGACUGGAAUGGUACUUAUUAGGGAGGUUAUUUUUUGAUCUUC